rnacentral:rRNA from 1 species
GAUGAACGCUAGCGGCAGGCCUAAUACAUGCAAGUCGAACGGUGUCUUCGGAUAUAGUGGCGCACGGGUGCGUAACACGUAUGCAACCUACCUUACAUUGGGGGAUAGCCUUUCGAAAGGGAGAUUAAUACCGCAUAAGACAGUAGCUGGGCAUCCAGCAGCUGUUAAAGAUUUAUCGAUGUAAGCUGGGCAUGCGUCCAAUUAGCUAGUUGGUGAGGUAACGGCUCACCAAGGCAAUGAUUGGUAGGGGAACUGAGAGGUCAAUCCCCCACACUGGCACUGAGAUACGGGCCAGACUCCUACGGGAGGCAGCAGUAGGGAAUAUUGGGCAAUGGACGCAAGUCUGACCCAGCCAUGCCGCGUGCAGGAUGAAGGCGUUAUGCGUUGUAAACUGCUUUUAUACAGGAAGAAACGACUCUUGCGAGAGGCAUUGACGGUACUGUAUGAAUAAGCACCGCCUAACUCCGUGCCAGCAGCCGCAGUAAGAC